UACGUAGGGUGCGAGCGUUAAUCGGAAUUACUGGGCGUAAAGCGUGCGCAGGCGGCUUUGCAAGACAGAUGUGAAAUCCCCGGGCUCAACCUGGGAACUGCAUUUGUGACUGCAAGGCUAGAGUACGGCAGAGGGGGAUGGAAUUCCGCGUGUAGCAGUGAAAUGCGUAGAUAUGCGGAGGAACACCAAUGGCGAAGGCAAUCCCCUGGGCCUGUACUGACACUCAUGCACGAAAGCAUGGGGAGCAAACAGG
rnacentral:rRNA from 1 species